AACUUUCAACAACGGAUCUCUUGGUUCUGGCAUCGAUGAAG
rnacentral:rRNA from 1 species